AAGCGGCGGACGGGUGAGUAACGCGUGGGUAACCUACCCUGUACACACGGAUAACAUACCGAAAGGUAUGCUAAUACGGGAUAAUAUAUUUGAGAGGCAUCUCUUAAAUAUCAAAGGUGAGCCAGUACAGGAUGGACCCGCGUCUGAUUAGCUAGUUGGUAAGGUAACGGCUUACCAAGGCGACGAUCAGUAGCCGACCUGAGGGGGUGAUCGGCCACAUUGGAACUGAGACACGGUCCAA
rnacentral:rRNA from 1 species